UGGGGAAUAUUGGACAAUGGGCGGAAGCCUGAUCCAGCCAUGCCGCGUGUGUGAAGAAGGCCUUUUGGUUGUAAAGCACUUUAAGCGAGGAGGAGGCUACUUGGAUUAGUACUCUAGGAUAGUGGACGUUACUCGCAGAAUAAGCACCGGCUAACUCUGUGCCAGCAGCCGCGGUAAUACAGAGGGUGCGAGCGUUAAUCGGAUUUACUGGGCGUAAAGCGUGCGUAGGCGGCUUCUUAAGUCGGAUGUGAAAUCCCUGAGCUUAACUUAGGAAUUGCAUUCGAUACUGGGAAGCUAGAGUAUGGGAGAGGAUGGUAGAAUUCCAGGUGUAGCGGUGAAAUGCGUAGAGAUCUGGAGGAAUACCGAUGGCGAAGGCAGCCAUCUGGCCUAAUACUGACGCUGAGGUACGAAAGCAUGGGGAGCAAACAGG
rnacentral:rRNA from 1 species